AAUCAAUUGACUGGAGAAAUACCUUACGCCUUUCAAGGCCUUAUAGAGUUGUUCAAUCUAGAUUUAUCCAACAACAAUUUGAGCGGGCAACUCCCACCCUCACUGGAGAAUUUGUCAUCUCUGACCACUCUUCAUUUGCAGAAUAAUCAGCUUUCUAGGACUCUUGAUGUUCUACAAGAUCUUAAACUUAAAGAUUUGUACUCUUCUCAACCAUGACACUUUUGUGGAAUGCUUAU